UUCUCUGCUUCCAAGAGAACUCCUGUCUGCUCCUAAUGGCUGUACUGAUUAUCCCGUCCAGAUUCCUGCUCCGUGUUUUUUCCCCAACCCUUUCCCCUUUUCAAUAAACUUCAUUAUUGUUUUUGCA